AGCAGCAGCGUCGCACGGCCUCCGCCUUUCGGGCACCGGCGCCGCUUAGAGGCUCAGUACGACGCAAGGGCUGCCCUCGAGCGCACAAGCACCGACUGACGGGCCACGCACGCUAGGCCGCCAUCUUGGUCCACGCCCCUUUCAUUACCUUACCGCGUCUAGUCUGCAACGUGCAUGCCUUAAGCAGACAAUUUGAUGGAUGACCAAACCUGCAUUUUUCUUCUGGGCUACCUCACAUUAAGGGGAGCUGUUUAUUUGUUUGUUUGUUUAUGACUUAUAGAGUCCUAAACUCACCCAACUGAUACUAAUUUGAUUCUUCAGAGUGUCCAACAAAAACAAAUAAUAAUUAGAGAAAUAAUAACCACAUAGCAUUAAUAGAGCAAUAUAAAAUGGCAAUUGAGCAUGACAAAUAACCAAAAAGGGAACUCUACUCUACAGAGAGAAAACAUAGAUCUUAACAGCUUUUCUAAGGGCAAUUUGUGCUUCUUUGGCUGGUGGUAAACAAGGUCAGGGGAAUCUUCCUGGAGAUUACCGACUUUAAAAAUGUUAAUCUAUGGUGAGGCAAAAUACAGUUCAGUAAUCUAGGAAAUCAAUUUUAUUCUGGCAUACUUUUCUGCUAGAAAAAUAACUGGUAAACUGCAUUUUAACCUGGGCAUCUACAAUAGAUACAGGAAGUCUACAUAUCCCUGUUGUCAGGCUUUUGAGAUAUAAAAAAAUCAGAACACAAUAAAUGCAGAUUUUUUUCUACCUUUAAUAUAACAUAUGCUGUACAAUUUGGUUGAAAAACAAGCAAAUUGUUUAGUGGGAAAAAUUAAAACAAAAAUAACUGCAUAGGUGUUCACACCAGUGGUGGGUUGCCCCCGGUUCAGACGGAUUCUAUAGAACUGGUAGUAAAACUGGCAGGAGGCUCUGCCCACUGACCCAGACAUCAUCAGAACGCUUCUGCGCAUGCGCAGAAAAGCAUGUGCACGUGAGCGGAGCAAACAACGCGCGCAGCCCCGUUGCGAACCGGUAGUAAAGGUAAGUAGAACCCACCCCUUGUUCACACCCACAGUUAUAAGUACGGAUAUGGCUGUGUUCAGAAUUAACCAAUGAUAUUCAAACGAUUGUUAAAUAGUAGUACAUAUCUGCCAUCAAUUAAAGUCAGUCUGAUCAAAUCCAUGUAAAGUUCAGCUGUUCUACUAGGAUUUUUCUGACAGUUGUCUCUCACAGCAAAAACUGUAGCUUGCAAAGAGAUCUCAUUGUUGGAAGUUAUAAAUUAAAAGAAUGGUACAAAAAAAUUACAAACCAUUGGCUAUGCCAUGGAACACAGUUAAAUGUGUGUCAUUGUCUGAAAAAAGCAUGUAGGAAAAUGUGUUUGGUACAAAAAGCAUGUUUGCUGUGAAUGAAUAGCAUAGCAUAGAAUAGCAUAGAAUAGCAUAGAAACAGAGUUGGAAGGGACCUUGUAGGUCAUCUAGUGCAACUCCCUGCUCAAGCAGGAGACCCUAUACUAUUUCUGACAGAUGGCUAUCCAGUCUCUUCUCGAAAGCUUCCAGCGAUGAAACACCCAUAACUUCUGAAGGCAAGCUGUUCCAUUGGUUGAUUGUUCUGUCAGAAAAUUUAUCCUUAUUUCUAGGUUAAAUCACUCCUUGAUCACUUUCCACCUAUUAUUCCUUGUCUGGCUUUCAGGUGCUUUGGAAAAUAUGUUGACCCCCUCCUGUCUGUGACAGCCCCUCAAAUAUUGGAACACUGGUAUGUGUCCCCUGGCCCUUCGCUUCCUUAAACUAGACAUACCCAAUUCCUGCAACCGUUCUUCAUAUGUUUUAGCCUCCAGUUCCCUAAUCAUCUUUGUUGCUCUUCUCUGCACUCUUUCUAGAGUCUCAACAUCUUUUUUUAUAGUGUGGUGACCAAAACUGGAUGCAGUAUUCUAGUUGUGAUCUUACUAAGGCUUUAUAGAGUGGUAUUAGUACCUCACUUGAUCUUGAUUGUAUCCCUUUGUUAAUGCAAUUUAGGAUUACGUUGACUUUUUUGGCUGCCAACACAUACAGCUGGCUCAUAUUUAAUUGAUUGUCCACGAAGACUCCAAGAUCCCUCUAACAGUUACUGCUAUUAAGUCAGAUUUUACUCAAUAUACAUGUGUACUUUUGGUUUUUCUUGCCUAUGUAAGACUUUACUUUUCUCUACAUUGAAUUUUAUUUUGUUAGAUAGGGCCCAGUGUUCGUCUGUCAAGAUUCAUAUUGAUCUUGAUCCUAUCAUCUAAGGUGUUGGCUAUUCCUGCCAGCUUAGUAACAUCUGCAAAUUUAAUGAGUUCCCCUUCUAUUCCCUCAUCUAAGUCAUCUAAAUACCCCAUUUCCACAGUGAAGUGUGGUGGUGGCAGCCUUGGGCUUUGAGCUGCUUUUCUUCAGCUGGAAUUGGUGCAUUAUUCAAGGUGGAGGGAAUUAUUAACAGUUCCAAAUAUCUAUCAAUUUCAGCACAAAAUCCCCGUUCAGCACAAUGGCCCAAAGCACACCUCCAAAUCAACAAAAGAAUGGCUUCACCAGAAGAAGAUCAAAAUUUUGGGAUGGCCCAGGCAGAGUCCUGACCUAAAUACAAUUGAAAAUCUAUGAGCUGAUCUAAAGAGGGCAACUCUUCUACACAGGAGUUGCCCUCGCAAUCUGACUGAUUUGGAGCACUACUGCAAGGAAGAGUGGGCAAAGAUUCCCAAGCCAGGGAAUUGGUGAAGAGGUGCUUCAUGCCUAAUUUUAUGCGAUAUGAAACAUGCAAGGCCAAAUUAAAUUUUACUGCCUUUGUUGGGCCCUCCAUGGAAUUCAAAGAUUUGUUUGUUUGUUUGUUUGUUUGUUUAUUGGCAGUGUGUAUCCCUGAAGCAUUUUAGAGCUAUAAAGUAUCCAUUUUAUGCACUAAAAUCUGGACACUCCCAGAAAUCCAGGGGAUAAAUACUGAACUGAAGACAACUGUAGCAAAAUUAAGAACUCAGCAAGUAAACUGGCUCUUUGUAAUUGUUCUCUGGACAAGGAGAUGUCCUGAGACCAAUCACAAAUGCCCCAUAUAGUUGUCCCUGUGUUCCACUGCAAGACAGUGGUCUCCAGUGGGCUUAGGGGUCUGGGGGAAUAGCUAUCUUGCUUAAUCUAUGGUUGGCUCAUUUAAGGCUACUGGGUUUUCAUACUUCCUUUUCUAUUUAUCUUUUUUUUUGAGGGGGGGCAAUUGCUUGUUAACUGCUUUGGGUCAACAGGUUUUACAGCACUGGGUGAGCCUUCAAUCCCUAUUGAAAGAAGUUUUAAAUACAAGCGUAAGGACUUAUUUUUUUCUGGAAUAAAUAGCAAAACUAUGAUUUUAGAAAGUCCCUCAUCCCACUCAUGUCAGAGGCACCAUUGAAGGUCAUUCUGAACUGAAAGGAUUAGCCGGUGACAUGAUCAUUGCCCUAUCUCUGAGAGGGGUCUAGACUAUGGUUAAAGAUGUUAUGGAAAAUGAACAAGUUUUACUAAAGGAGAUAGAGACUGAUCUGAAGUGAUUUAAAAAUGACAGGUUACAACAAAGAUAUUGAAAAUGAUGCUAUGUCUGGCUAUACAAAAGAAAUUAGCUGAUGUCUUGAUAAUUAAAAGAGAUAUACAAAUAACAAACCAAAGGAAUGACUUGGAUAAUCUGCCUUUACUGGAUUUAUAAAGGAGGCUUGUUAAAGUUGUGAAGAAUUUUGUGAGAGGGACCAAAGAAAAAAUGAUUUGAGUUCCUGGACUUAUUUGAAAGCACUAAAGAUCAAGUUUGUUAAAAGUAAUAGGAGAGAACGCCAAAUUGGUUUAUUUGAUCAAGUUAAAAUAUAUGUUAUUUCUAGUAACCCUUAAUGGACUUUUGCUGAUCAAGACAGAAAUGAUGAGGUUUUAAAGGACUUUUUUUAAUAGAUAAGAGAUGGGAUAUGAGAAGAAGACAAAAUUUGUUGUAUAUUAAGUGAGGUGAAAAAUUACUAAAAUCAUAUUUUAAUGAAUGGGAAAAUAAUUUCUUUAAUACUUCUUGUUCUUUACUAUAUUCUAAUUUUUCCUUUUUUUUCUAUUUUCUUUUUGUUAGCUGCAACUCCCAGUUUUUAUUUUUUUAAAUUUGUAUUAGACUUUUUCUAUCAUCGUGGUUGUAAUUUUUAAUAAAAUUACUAUUAAAAAAGAUAUUCAGA